GUGGAGAACCCGGGAGACGAGCAGGCGUCGACCGUUCGACGAAAGGCGCUGCUGCACACGCCCACCAACGAGGUGAUCACCUCCUACGCGACGCUGGAGCGGGAGCUGCUGGGACUGGGGUGGGAGCGCUACUACGAGGAACCCGACCUCCUCCAGUUUCACAAGCGCUCCUCCAUCGACCUCAUCUCCCUCCCCAAGGACUUCUCCCGCUUCAAGUCCAUCCACAUGUACGACAUCGUCGUCAAGAACCGCCACUCCUUCAAGGUCAUCGACCUGUAGCCUGCCUGCAUGCACACCCAACCCUACUCCUACUUUUGAAUAGCGUGU
rnacentral:lncRNA from 1 species